rnacentral:rRNA from 1 species
UGCAGUCGAGCGAAUCAAUGGGAGCUUGCUCCCUGAGAUUAGCGGCGGACGGGUGAGUAACACGUGGGUAACCUGCCUGUGAGACUGGGAUAACUUCGGGAAACCGGAGCUAAUACCGGAUAGUUUCUUUUCUCGCAUGAGAGAAGAUGGAAAGAUGGUUUCGGCUAUCACUUACAGAUGGACCCGCGGCGCAUUAGCUAGUUGGUGAGGUAAUGGCUCACCAAGGCGACGAUGCGUAGCCGACCUGAGAGGGUGAUCGGCCACACUGGGACUGAGACACGGCCCAGACUCCUACAGGAGGCAGCAGUAGGGAAUCUUCCGCAAUGGACGAAAGUCUGACGGAGCAACGCCGCGUGAGCGAAGAAGGCCUUCGGGUCGUAAAGCUCUGUUGUUAGGGAAGAACAAGUACGAGAGUAACUGCUCGUACCUUGACGGUACCUAACCAGAAAGCCACGGCUAACUACGUGCCAGCAGCCGCGGUAAUACGUAGGUGGCAAGCGUUGUCCGGAAUUAUUGGGCGUAAAGCGCGCGCAGGCGGUCCUUUAAGUCUGAUGUGAAAGCCCACGGCUCAACCGUGGAGGGUCAUUGGAAACUGGGGGACUUGAGUGCAGAAGAGAAGAGUGGAAUUCCACGUGUAGCGGUGAAAUGCGUAGAGAUGUGGAGGAACACC